ACAAUAUACACUCAUCACAUGCCUUCUCGCCUUUUGUUUGCAAGCCAUUUAAACAACAGAGGGUCCGUAAUAGAUAGCUGUAGGCAUAGCAGGUGUAGACACUGUGUUCACACGCCGAGUGGUCUUUCUCUUUCUGUUGACAUCGCUUAACUGGAUAAUGAAGUGUUUUCGUUUCCUUUCGUUCAUACCCUUUCCAUGACAUUCCAAGUAGAGUUUGGAAGUGUGUAGAUAGACUAGAAGAAGAUGUCAACGAGUAGUAGGGGGGUCAAUCAA
ensembl:ncRNA C36F7.16 ncRNA